rnacentral:piRNA from 1 species
GAGAUGAAUCUUCAGACCUGAAUCAACC